UACAGAGACUGCGAGCGUUAGUUCGGAUUCACUGGGCGUAAAGGGUGCGCAGGCGGCCAUGUGUGUGAGGCGUGAAAGCCCAGGGCUUAACCCUGGAAUUGCACCUCAAACUACAUGGCUAGAGCAUUGGAGAGGGAAGCGGAAUUCACGGUGUAGCAGUGAAAUGCGUAGAUAUCGUGAGGAACACCAGAGGCGAAGGCGGCUUCCUGGACAAUUGCUGACGCUCAGGCACGAAAGCGUGGGGAGCAAAAGGG
rnacentral:rRNA from 1 species